CAACAUUGUAGCUCAGGCACCGAUAGACAACAUAGCGAGAACCAGAGGGAGGGAUUGGAGGGAGAGGGAGAGGGAGGGAUGGAGGGGGAUAUGGAGAGAAAAAGAGAGAGUGAGAGAGAGAGAUAAGGGCAGAGGGAGUCUUACCAGAGAAAGGGGAGUGAGAAAGAGAGAAAAGAGACUCUGGAGGAAAGGGAGAGGGGAGUGAGAAAAAAUGAGAGAGAGGGAGAGAAGACAAAAUGAGAGAGAGAGAAUGAGAGAGAGGAAGAAGAUAGAAUGAGAGAGGGAAGGAAUGAGAGAGAGGGGGAGAAGAUAAAAUGAGAGAGAGAUAGAAUGAGAGAGAGGAAGAAGAUAGAAUGAGAGAGAGGGAAGGAAUGAGAGAGAGGGAGAGAAGACAAAAUGAGAGAGAGGGAGAGAAGAUAGAAUGAGAGAGGGGGAAGGAAUGAGAAGAGGAGAAAGAGGGAUGUGGAAGGGAGAGGAAAGGGGAUACAGAGAGAGAGGACUGAAAAGAGGACAGGCUGAGGCAACAUAGGGAGAGAGAGCGUGAGUGUGUCUUGUGUGAGAUAUUACGCACUGGUCCUCUCCUCCCACGUCGACUGGCACAGGAGAGAAGCAGCAAGCGCUGGUGAGAGGGCGAUAGGCAUGGGCAGUCUCCAGCUCUCCCUUUGUUUGCAUCUGAAAACACAGGAUUACGGUGGUUAUCCUGUCGUCGUCCUCCUCCACUGUCCUUCUCCUGGGUCCUCUUCUGCAGACCUCCCAUGCUGAGCUCAAGUCAGAGAUCACUGACUGUCCCCUGGUGUACGGUGCAUAACACUGCAGUGCAGAGCCCACCCUGGACACAUAGACAACACUAAAGGACC
ensembl:lncRNA